rnacentral:lncRNA from 1 species
GAUGUUGUUCAUCCUUUCUUUUUGGCUCAGAAGUGUCAUACUCUGCAAAGCAUGAAUAAUCAUUUGGAAGCAGUGCUGAAAGAGAAGAGAUCCCUUAGGCAAAGACUGUUGAAACCCAUGUGCCAGGAAAACUUACCUAUUGAAGCUGUUUAUCACAGGUUAGACUGAAAAGUAGAAAUUAACAGUUACACCUGUUUUCUGAGUUUACUUUUUGUUUUGCAGUUACUUUGUAGCAGAAUUCAUAAAACAAUUAGUGAUUGUAUUUGUUAACAUUAUUAAUGGUGAUAUAUUAAAUCAGAAAGAAAAUCUUUGCUUUUAAACCAUUAUACCUAUGGCAAAAAGGAAGAACUUGGCCAUCGUGUUUUGGGAAUUAUAAAUUAUGAGUUUAAUGAAAGAAAUUAGAUCCAUAACAUGUAACAAUAAAAACUGUUUGUAUGUGAAGU